UGUAAACAAUAAAAUAAAAUUUUUAUAAUUUCAUGCGGAUGAAGUAGCACGGGAACAGCUAGUUAAUUAUAUUAAUCUUACAGGUUUAGGUUACAUACAAUUCUUGCCCAGUCGUAGGCAGAGAAGUAUGAUAAUGUAUGAAAAUUACUUAUUCUCCUUUUCGGGUCGUAACAAGACAUACCUACGUUGCUCUAGAUAUAUGCGAGAUUUAGGUUAUGUAGCAUUCAUUCCAGGGAAAAAAGGUAGGUUUAUCGAGUACAAAAAACACAUUUACUCUUUUGUGGGUUACGGGAAGUCAUAUCUACGUUGUUCGAAAUCUAGGCGAGGAGGAUGUAAGGCUGCUUUGAAGAUCAAUACCCAGGGAAAGAUAAGGAAGAGUACAUACCUAGCAACCGAGGUAGAGGAAAGAUUUUGUUAUACAAGCAGUAUACUUAUGCUAACAUAAACUAUAAGCACGAAGACAAGACGAGAUGGUAUUGCUCUAAGAAAGCUGGAGGUUGUAAAGCAAGAGUCCACACAACUCCUGAUGGCCGAGUCAUUGAUAUGAUAAAUGAACACAAUCAUCAACCUCCUACUUUGUACAGAACCCGUGAUGGGAAGGUUUUUAAAGUAUAAAUGUGUUCAACUUAAAAGUUCAAGUUCGAACUUAGGAUAUUAACUAGCUGUUCCUGCGCGGCUUCAUCCGCAUAUGAAACUGUAUUCAUACCUAGUAAUCGGAAAAAUGGAGAACUACUGUUAUACAAGGGGUAUACUUUUGCUAGCAUGACCUCAAAGAUGAGAUGGUAUUGCUCUAAGAAAGCAGCGGGCUGUAAAGCAAGACUUCGUACAACUCUUGCAGGACGAGUCCUUGUUUCGAUAAACCAACAUAAUCAUAAACCACCCAUGUUGUAUAAAACUUCCGAUGGAAAGGUUGUUAAGUUGUGAAUAGUUCUUGUUACAAAGAAAAUAAUAGCUCUUCGUAGUCGUAGAAUAAUUUUGUUUUUAAUAUGCGUUUUUUAUUCAUUUUUGCUGAAACGAUAUCUAAUGUCACCCAACACAUGUUUUCUGUUUUAUAUGAAGUAAUUAGACUUAGUUUGAUUUCUGAGCUGUAAAUUUAAUAUUAAGUUAAUUAAAUGCCGUUUUUUUGUAAAUAUAUCAAAAUUAGUUAAGGCUUUAGAUGUAAAAGUGUUUAAACCAUUUUUAUAGGACGUAAGGUUUUGAAAUAUGUUGUAGCAGAGAUUGUAUUUUAUUUUUUUUUCAGUAUUUACGGAAUACUAAUAAAACUAAAUUAAGGUUACAUUAAGAUUUAUUUAAUGUUUUGACCUAAGAGUUAUAGGUUUUUUUAGAUUUUUAAUAAUAGACUUUUUAUUUAGUGGUUCCCAACUAAUCAGUCUUAAGUAAAUACACUCAAGGUUCAAGUUAUAUAAAUAUUUCUUUGCAGAAUAUAAGUUACCCGAUGGCUUUCCUAUUAGGACCACAAAACGUGAACUACAAAACUAUAGACACGAACAAUCAGAUAUAGUACAGAAUCCAAUCUGUCGGAUUUUCAUUACGAAGAAAUAAAAACUGGAAAUGAUACGACGUUAAUAAUGUUCCGGAAAUACACAUUCUCCUAUCAUUCGAAGAAAAUAAAGCGGUACGCUUAUUGUUCCAAAAAGAUAACUACGAAGUGUCCUGCUAAGCUGAAACUUGACAACCUCACGAAAACUAUUCUUAGUGGCAAUAUUUAUCAUAAUCAUGCGCCUCCUAGACUUAUAAAAAGCAUUUACGCUCGUAAUGUAUACCAUAAACUUAUUUAAUUCCAACCCAUGGGUGUUUGCUAGGGACGGUCAGGAAGGGCGGGUCUAGACUCGAGAACUGUGAAAUAUAUAACAGCUUGAGGGAGCACGCUAUCAGAAUUACUACUACUCGUGAGCAUAUGUGGGCGGUCAUGGGUGAAGUUGGAUUCAAGGAAUACACUCAUAAUACUUCUUAGUCAGGAUAUCAUGGAUUUACAAAGCUUAGAUAGUACAAACAUUGCCCUCGCAAUGUUCUCUAUUUUCAGAAUGAUUUAACUUCUCUAGAAAGUCGCUUGGCGGCGCUUGUGUUCUAUUUAUGACUUAAAUCUAAAUUGAUUUUUUCUUUCGUUUGCAUAUAAUCCUAAAUACAAGUUAUUAUUGAGUUUUUAGUCAAAAAACUACUUGUGUUCAUAAAAAAAUGUACAUUGCAUUCUCUCUGGAAUAAAAAAAAGAAUAUGUACUACCUGCACCCUUCUUGAUUACCGGCUUGCUACCAAUUUCUAGACCAUCAGCUGGUGUUCCACGUUCCGACCCUUUUACUAUCAUAGUAUCUAGUACUCUUAACCCUUAAUUCGACGGACUUUGUAACAAAAAAAAUAUCUGUUACCAACACACUAAAAUUAAAAUCUCACGCUUUUUACUAAAUAAGUUUAGUAGUUUUUUUUAUUCGUCACAAUGGACACUCGAAUUAGGGGUUGAAGGUGAAGUGAGACUUCGUAGAAAAUUUUUAGAAUAUUCAAAGAUUUAUAGAUUUAGAAAUGUUUUUUUUUUAUUUACAAAUCUAUCUUGAUUAUUUAAAAAAUCUGUUUUGUUGAAA